rnacentral:rRNA from 1 species
UAGGGAAUCUUCCACAAUGGGCGAAAGCCUGAUGGAGCAACGCCGCGUGUGUGAUGAAGGGUUUCGGCUCGUAAAACACUAUUGUAAGAGAAGAAUGACAUUGAGAGUAACUGUUCAAUGUGUGACGGUAUCUUACCAGAAAGGAACGGCUAAAUACGUGCCA